rnacentral:rRNA from 1 species
UACGUAGGGUGCAAGCGUUGUCCGGAAUUAUUGGGCGUAAAGAGCUCGUAGGCGGUUUGUCGCGUCUGCUGUGAAAACUCGAGGCUCAACCUCGGGCUUGCAGUGGGUACGGGCAGACUAGAGUGCGGUAGGGGUGACUGGAAUUCCUGGUGUAGCGGUGGAAUGCGCAGAUAUCAGGAGGAACACCGAUGGCGAAGGCAGGUCACUGGGCCGCAACUGAACGC